GUAAAUAUAAUUUAACUAAAAUGCUAGAUUGUGAUUCUAGAAAUAGAGGUUAAACCCCUCUUAUUUACC
rnacentral:tRNA from 1 species